UUGUCACCAAACUCUAACUGCAGAACUGGGAUGUGGAGCUGGAAGUGCCUCCUCUUCUGGGCUGUGCUGGUCACAGCCACACUCUGCACCGCUAGGCCAUCCCCAACCUUGCCUGAACAAGAUGCUCUCCCCUCCUCGGAGGAUGAUGAUGAUGAUGAUGACUCCUCUUCAGAGGAGAAAGAAACAGAUAACACCAAACCAAACCGUAUGCCCGUAGCUCCAUAUUGGACAUCCCCAGAAAAAAUGGAAAAGAAAUUGCAUGCAGUGCCGGCUGCCAAGACAGUGAAGUUCAAAUGCCCUUCCAGUGGGACCCCAAACCCCACACUGCGCUGGUUGAAAAAUGGCAAAGAAUUCAAACCUGACCACAGAAUUGGAGGCUACAAGAGCGGUCCCCUCACCGGCCCAUCCUGCAAGCAGGGUUGCCCGCCAACAAGACAGUGGCCCUGGGUAGCAACGUGGAGUUCAUGUGUAAGGUGUACAGUGAUCCGCAGCCGCACAUCCAGUGGCUAAAGCACAUCGAGGUGAACGGGAGCAAGAUUGGUCCAGACAACCUGCC
rnacentral:sRNA from 1 species